UACGGAGGGUGCAAGCGUUAUCCGGAUUCACUGGGUUUAAAGGGUGCGUAGGUGGCUUUGUAAGUCAGUGGUGAAAUGCCGCAGCUCAACUGCGGAACUGCCAUUGAUACUGCUUAGCUUGAAUCACGUCGAGGUGGAUGGAAUAUUACAUGUAGCGGUGAAAUGCUUAGAUAUGACAUAGAACAUCGAUUGCGAAGGCAGCUCGCUACGCUAUUAUUGACACUGAGGCACGAAAGCGUGGGGAUCAAACAGG
rnacentral:rRNA from 1 species